rnacentral:rRNA from 1 species
GAUGAACGCUGGCGGCGUGCCUAACACACGCAAGUCGAGCGAAGCGCUGUUUUCAGAAUCUUCGGAGGAAGAGGACAGUGACUGAGCGGCGGACGGGUGAGUAACGCGUGGGCAACCUGCCUCAUACAGGGGGAUAACAGUUAGAAAUGACUGCUAAUACCGCAUAAGCGCACAGGACCGCAUGGUGUAGUGUGAAAAACUCCGGUGGUAUGAGAUGGACCCGCGUCUGAUUAGGUAGUUGGUGGGGUAAAGGCCUACCAAGCCGACGAUCAGUAGCCGACCUGAGAGGGUGACCGGCCACAUUGGGACUGAGACACGGCCCAAACUCCUACGGGAGGCAGCAGUGGGGAAUAUUGCACAAUGGGGGAAACCCUGAUGCGGCGACGCCGCGUGAAGGAAGAAGUAUUUCGGUAUGUAAACUUCUAUCAGCAGGGAAGAAAAUGACGGCACCUGAGUAAGAAGCACCGGCUAAAUACGUGCCAGCAGCCGCGGUAAUACGUAUGGUGCAAGCGUUAUCCGGAUUUACUGGGUGUAAAGGGAGCGUAGACGGAUAGGCAAGUCUGGAGUGAAAACCCAGGGCUCAACCCUGGGACUGCUUUGGAAACUGCAGAUCUGGAGUGCCGGAGAGGUAAGCGGAAUUCCUAGUGUAGCGGUGAAAUGCGUAGAUAUUAGGAGGAACACCAGUGGCGAAGGCGGCUUACUGGACGGUGGCUGACGUUGAGGCUCGAAAGCGUGGGGAGCAAACAGGAGUAGAUACCCUGGUAGUCCACGCCGUAAACGAUCCUAAAGGGGUCGGUGUGCAAAGCACAUCGGUGCCGCAGCAAACGCAAUAAGUAGUCCACCCUGGGGAGUACGUUCGCAAGAAUGAAACUCAAAGGAAUAGACGGGGACCCGCACAAGCGGUGGAGCAUGUGGUUUAAUUCGAAGCAACGCGAAGAACCUUACCUGGUCUUGACAUCCGGAUGACGGGCGAGUAAUGUCGCCGUCCCUUCGGGGCAUCCGAGACAGGUGGUGCAUGGUUGUCGUCAGCUCGUGUCGUGAGAUGUUGGGUUAAGUCCCGCAACGAGCGCAACCCUUAUCUUCAGUAGCCAGCAUAUAAGGUGGGCACUCUGGAGAGACUGCCAGGGAGAACCUGGAGGAAGGUGGGGAUGACGUCAAAUCAUCAUGCCCCCUAUGGCCAGGGCUACACACGUGCUACAAUGGCGUAAACAAAGGGAAGCGAGAGGGUGACCUGAAGCGAAUCCCAAAAAUAACGUCUCAGUUCGGAUUGUAGUCUGCAACUCGACUACAUGAAGCUGGAAUCGCUAGUAAUCGCGGAUCAGCAUGCCGCGGCG